CGUGGUUUUUUUCUCCCGGCGCCCGAAUCCGGUUGGGUUGUUGUGAUUCCCUUUGCAUUCCGAAACCUAACAGGAUCGAUCAACUUUGAUGCACGAUUCACAAAGCAACAGUGAAGCGGUGCAAGCCACCAACGAUGACGCCUCCGGCAGCACAUUGUUCGCCCAUCUCCUUUUCUCUUUCUUUUUUUGCCUAAGACCAAUGCAUAUGCAGGCUUUUUAAUUGGUGAAUUAGGAACGGGUUUAUCUAGAAGCUGUUUUGUUUUUCUAAGCGUGUUUUUCCCGCGAAAAAAUGACAUACGAAUAUGAUAUUUUAUUACGUUUUUGUCGGUUUAUUAGAAUUGCUCCACCCUUCCCACUUUUUUUUUUUUUUUGCCGGUGGUUAGAUUCUAAAACUAAUGAGUUUUCCAUCAUCUAUUCUCUCUGAAAUUUUAAUUCGUUGUGUGUAAAUAUUUUCUUCUACUUCUUGGUUUUUGGCAUUGUUUGCUUUCUCUAGAUUGGCUUGUCAGAGGUGUUAAGGUUGCAUUCAGACCUGGCAAGAUGGAUGUUAUAGAAGGUUAAUCUAGAUGGUUCCUUUGGAGGAUUCUAAUGUGAAUAAGCGUAAGCACUAAUCUGGCUGAAUCUUGUCUCAUUAUUACUGAAUGGUUCUUUAGAGGCAUAAAAUGUUUUUGGUUUCUGAUGAAAUGUAACUCUGUAUUGUAUGUAAAAGAGAAUGUUGAUUAUUCAUGCACGACAUGCCAUGAUGCCAUGCUCAGAAAUUAAAACAUGUUUUUGAAAAAACAUUGAUUGGAUAAAUUUAUUUUCUUGGUUGACUAUCCAAUUGUUUUUCACCUCAUACGAAUAUUGAUUGGAGCUCAUGCAUACUGAUCCAAUUCUAAAUGAAUGUUGAUCCCAAAUAGCAAUCUGAUUAUGUUUACCCUCCUGUUCGUUAAUGGUAAAAGUCAUGUACUAUGGACAUGUGACAUUGGUUCAGAUAACUUUAAUACUUGAAUUUUUUUUUUUCUCAUUUUUGGUCACUAUUGAAUUCAGAUUUUAAAUGAAUUGCAAUGUUGUUAACCAUUAGUAUUGUAUGAUAACUAUUUCAUCUGUAUAAACUGGCUGUAGGUUAUGUGUGCAAAAAGGGAUACAUGAAAGAUGACUACAUUCAUUUAUUUGUGAGAAACUCCAAUUAUUAAUUGAGGUGGGACUUAUGUUCUUGAAGGUAUUGAAUUGUUUAAGUUCCUGCUCUUCAACUUAGUAGUUUGUUGGUGCUUUUGUAUUGUUUGUGACUAUAUUACUUUGCUCGUUGGGCUGUUAUUUGGAAACUUCUGUUUCAGUUUCUUGAUGUAGAGAAGAAAUCAGAUGAAGAUGCCCCUGUAAAGAAGCAGAUAUUAUCAAUCGGAGCAGGCUUUUAUGCAACAUAUUUUCAGUUGCACGUGCCAUCUUAAUGUGUUCUGAUCAACUUGGAUCCUGAUUCAACUCGUGCAAUUGUUGGUUGGGCUUCCUAAACUUUUUCUGCAGCAAUAUUUUUUUUGUAUGAGUAGAUCCCACCCAGAUGAUGCUUUUGGAGAACAAAUGAUACGGAAUUUAGAGAGUUGAGGUUGUGCUUGGGCAUUCUACACCAAGGUUACUUGCAAAGGAAAAAUAAUUUCUAGACCAAGGAUGGGGCAGGGUCUAUUUGGGAAUUUUGGUUUUGUUAAUGACAACAAAAGUAGGUUUCCUUCCUCAUGAAAAACGAGGAUACAACACAUAUAUUUAUAUUAUAUUUCUCUUGUGGUGACUGUAACUCUUAAUACAGUCCAGGUAUCACGGUGGCAGGUGCCAGCUCACUGGUAUGUUGUCUGGCAAAAAGGUUUUCUGAUCAACUUGUUAGUUAUUGUAUCAGAAUUCAACUAUUUGAGUAAUUAGUAUUUUUGUAUAGAUCCCUUCAGAUAUUGUUUAUUUGAUGCAAAACACAUAUACUUUAUAUUUUCUGAUAACUGUAUAGUAAAGAAAACGUGGUGGUGCCCACACAGCACCAACUGUUAAAGUCAUACUCUAGGCCUGUGUGGGGAUGUCCAUGUGGAACAAAUACGAAAAUAGUGUGUAAUGUUUUUG